rnacentral:sRNA from 1 species
GAGAUCCUGAGCCUUAACCUGAACCAUACGAGUAUCCAUUUACCUGAGGAAAGCUGGAGCACAAUGGAAUUAUGUUUUAACAUGAGCCAGAGGAAACAAUCAGCGUUUGAGUCGUUUGAUGGGCUGCUUCUGGAGCAACAGAGUGUGAAUGACCAGGGCGUUGGUCAAACCCACCGCUCAACAGUAAUAAAUAAAUACCUUAAAUUUGGCAAACCUUGGGUAAAAGUGACAAUUUGAAUCGACGUGGAUAUUCCUUGCAUUAUUGGAAUUUCUGUUUUCCCCAACUUUCCAAGGUUCCCUUGCGUCAACG